UUCAAGAUCAAGGCCAGUGCAUYCAAGGCACGUCAUGGAGGAUUGAGUACAGCGAUGCCAUCGAAGACCAUGCUAUUGUUGGUCCUCUCUUAAAGUCCAUUACGGCUUUAACCGACAACGACUGCAAAGAUKCCUGCUUCAUGCACGUCCCUGAUGUAUGCUACAUGUUCAACUAUCACCCAAAGACCAAGAAAUGUGAACUUUUCUACAAAGAUCGUGCUUCAGAAUACAGAGUAGAAAUGCGGAGUGGAUAUUUAUUUAAAACACUAAAGUGCAAGUCAAACCAAUGCCUUAACGGCGGGCAGUGCUACUCCCUGGGACAAAGUACACAAUGCUUAUGCAGACACGGACGCAGUGGACCAACUUGUGCUUAAUUCAAGCCUCCUUAAUUCAAUGACAGCAUGAUUCCACAAGAGCACUGCCACCCUGGGCAAUACAGGCUGGAUUUAAUCUUUUUUAUAGUUUAUUUAUGCUGCUUCACGUCGUCUUUAAGGCUGUUAGUAGCACUUCAAAAAGAUGAGAAAAGCUACAUUCCGCCAUAACAUAUUAUGAAUUUAAGCUAUAAUUGUUUUUGUAAGUCAAAUAAAUAUCAACAUAGUUAGUUUAACACUUUGUUGUUUUCCUCUUUUGAUGGACUUAUUGAUUGCGAAAGAAAGGGUGGAUGGAUGGAUGAAUUGAACUAAGGAUAGAAUAAUGAACGAAUUCAUUCUGGUGAGAUGAAAGUUUGAGUCAAGGGAAGCCUGAUUUACACCGAAUUGCAAAAACCGGCCCGUCGGAGUAAAAUAAUUAGAAAAUUAUUUCAAGACACUGAGAGAGGAUCAGCUGCUUGUCUUUUGUUUAGAUCGCUGAAUCUCAUAAAAACGUUUUCUGCAUGAUUGUAGGUAUGAACCUCCUUUAACGAUAACGUUGCCGUACAAUCCUGGUAAAAUAGAAAAUUCUAUACAUCAGUCCAAAGAUCGCACCGUGUAGCAGAAUUUAUUAUAUAUUGUAUCAGAAUUGAAAACAAGCAGAAACGUUCAUCUCAUCAGGUAAUCUGACGCUAAAUAAUAACAUUUCCAU